AGAUUGUAUAUCCUGUGCCUCAUGGUCUUCAUGUCUUCAUGCAUUCUAGCAUCAGGUAAUGCCAAAUAAUAAUAAUGACCAGUCUUCGCGAGCGAAUGCCAAAUAGAGGAGAAGCUCCCCUUGUGCUGCACUGGAGUCCAACAGCCUCUCAAAGCCAACCUUGAUCACAGGGAUCUGAGCUCUUCACCAGCACAGCCUUUGGCACAUGCUGAUCUGUGAGCAUACAGGUGGUCCUUUGACAGAGUGAUUUAACACCUCGC